GCCUCGUUGUUCCAGUCCAGCACACCCAGUGCCCUUUAGGUACUGCCAGCAUAGGGGACGUUGACCCAGCACCCAUGAAAUCAUUCCUCUCACAUUGAUGCCUCCAGUUCACUUUAAGUCUUUUUUCUUUGCCCCCUCUUUGUAAACGAAGAAUUGCCUGGGCACGGAGGGUCCCAGUGUGCCCUUCUGUUUGUGGAUUUACCACCUUUGUAUCCUAGAUAUGUCCACGACAAGGUGUUUGUACAGCUCAAGUUUUCAUUAAUACAAAUGAUAUACAGCUCACCUUUUCUUUAGAUUUGCUGGGAAAUGUCUUUAUUCAACACCAAACAACUUCCAGAAGAGUCAGUAUUUUGUUUCAGUUCUUUGGCCAAAUGGACAAAUAGGGUUGGGGUUCUUUGCUUUUCUUUUUGUCCAUUAGCCCAUACUGAAGUGCAUCACAUUUGUUUGCCCAGCUGAGGACAGGACGAGGACUGCACUUCAUUGCCUGCUCAGUCAUCGAUAAAUGCAAUUCAAUACUAUAGGGCUGAGAAUCAACCUCACUAGAGAUUCACAGACUGGAUGAUGAUUUUGUGCUUGUAAUUACAUUCCAAGACCUCUCAGUUAAUCAGUUAAUUCACCUAAUGUGCAAAGCACUGAUUUUUUGUUGUUCUUGCUUCUUAAUCAAAUUGCCACUUGAUAUCGGCCCAGAUGCUCCACAGAAGAUGAAGUCUAAAAAUGUCAAUGAAGCCCAAGGCAACGGAAGCCUCUGGGCACCGCACUGCAUCCUGCCUGCCAGGAGAUGCUGUCAUCCUGCCCAGAUGCUGACGUUUGUUGCUAGAGCCAGAUCAGGUGAAUUGAAGCCUAAUGCUCAGUACAAAUACUUGCUGAAAGGAAGCCUCGAGUGACGCAGUGAAAUGUAAUGUUGAAAGUUAUUUGGGAUGAAUCACAACAAGAGUAUGUUCCUGUUGCUUUGGUAGCAUCUCUUCUCUCACAGGCAGGGCUUAUGGAAAGAUCACAGAAUCCCAGAAUGGUUGAUGUUGAAAAGUCAAAACUAAACAAAUUCAGAAUACAGACAAGGGUCAGCUUUGUGAACUGUGAGGUCCAUUGAAUGCUAUAAACGUUAGAACAAUUGGCAAAGGAUCGAGGUGGAUUCCCCAUCACUGAAAAUGCUACAGUGCAAUGGGAAGCCUUUCUGAAAGUUGUGUUCUGUUUUAAAUUGAAGUUUAUUCAGGAGAGAUCUUAAUGUGAUGUCCAGCCCCAAAAUCAGAUCAGCAAACACCAGUGAUGCAUUGUAUUCACCCUCAUUACCUGCUAAGUCCAAAUGUAAGGAGCAUCUUAACAUAAAAUCAUAGAAUGCCUCAGGUAGGAGGGGACCUCAAAGUUCCCCCAGCCCCAACCCCUGCCAUGGGCUGGUUGCCCCCACCAGCUCAGGCUGCCUGGAGCCCAUCCAACCUGGCCUUGAGCACCUCCAGGGAUGGGGCAGCACAGCUCUCUGGGCAGCAGUGCCAGGGCCUCACAGCCUUCUGAGUACAGAAUUUCUUCAAAACAUCAAACCUAAACUUCUCCUCUUUUAGUUUAAAGCUAUCCGCCCUUGUCCUAUCACUAUCACAUCAUAUAAAAAGUUGUUCUCCCUCCUGCUUGUAAGCUCCCUUCAAGAACCGGAAGGUCACAAUGAAGUCACCUCAGAGCCCUCUCUUCUCCAGACUGAACAAGCCCAACUCCCUCAGCCUUUCUUCACAGGAGGGGUGCUCCAGCCUCAACCCCCUGCUUUUUGGAAAAGCAGAUUGGGAUUCAGCCUGUAGGUGGGCACACAUCAGGCUGUCCCCUCCCACCAGGCACUGCAGAGCUCCUGAAGCCAUCCAGCUCACGGGGAUGAGGGAUACUGAGACAGAAGGUGAAAACUCCUCCACACACACGGUUUGCUGUCGAAGUUGGCACUUGCAAUGACUUUUAAGGCAGUAAAUCCUGUGAAGUGCUGAGCUGCAUCUUGAGAAACUCCACAAGGAAUUGGGGCAGGGGCCAGCAGGCUGAGUUUCCUCCUUGACCCACAUCCCCAACAGCAGCCCUACGGCCUGGAAUCUGAUUAAACACUUCCUUAAUACUGAGAAUUUUCUCGUGUGCUGCAGGGUGUUUCUUGAGGCACGGGUUUGGUUGGUUGGUUUUGGUUGGUUGGUUUUUUUACUUCGACGUUCAAUAAUUUUCCCUCUAAAAAGAAGGAACAAAAAUCUCUUUGCUGUUAAUCAUUGAUGCUGAAAACAAACACCCGUUUCCUAUCCCAAGACUGAACACUUGCCGUAUGCUGCAAAGCCAAAACUACCACUACCUGGGAAGCACUCGUGAUCUGGAUUUCAAUUUCAUGGCUGCCACCUGUCGUCAAUAGAACAGAUUGAAUCAAUGGAACCAGGGUGAUACGUUUUAAAUUACUCACAGUUAAAUCCAUUUGAUAUGAGCUCUUGUCCCAUAUGUUACGCUGCCAAAACAGGUCAUUGAGCCAAGAGCCUGAAAAUAAUUUAAUAAAGGCUUAAAGAAAUGAAGAGGGAUAAUGGCAUAAAGUCACAUCGCCAUGAGACCUUUCAUGCUUUGAGGAAUAAAACUGCCAUAAAGAAGAAUAAAACUGCUGUGAAGAGAUGGGGUCAGGAGGAAAUUUGCCACUGGGGCUCUCCUGAGGGAAGGACCCCACUGCUUUUUGCUGUCAUAUCAUUUUCAGCACACGCACAAUGCUGGUUUGAUAGAGAGAAGGGGAAACUAUAGGAACAGCUCAUGCAGAUGUGGUGGAGGGGCAGCAUUCUGUGCGCUCUGUGCAGAGGAUGUGGACCCUCAGACACGUCAGUACCAUGGCUGUGCAGGCUGCAAAACUUGUGCAGAGCUCUCACUGAGCUCUUUUGCCCUUGUACCCUCACCUGAUACCCCUUUCUUGAGCUUUCAGAGAUGUACCAGGUGUCAGGGAAGCUGGAGAAUGUACUGCAUUGUGAAUAAAAGCCGAGCCCUGGAGUUCAUGCAGGUUGCAUCCUCUCUAGUCAAGGACUGGGCUAAGAGCUUGAGGGCUCACUUCUCACCUCCACCUUGUUGCCUUCUGUACUGGGGCUGUGCUCCUACAGGAGCUCUCUGUGACCCUUGCAUCAGUCAGGGGAUGCAUAUGGCACCUGGUAGUGACCAUUUCUAAGCAAGGAUCCAUUCUCAGGACUGGGGCACUUGCAUGUUUUCCAACCCUGCUUCCCCUAUCUCGUACUGUCCCAGCUUUUCUGAAGGGAUGACAAGCAUUUCUGGGGGCUUCUUCCAGAAGGUAACUGAAGGAGAGAGGGAAACUUAUGCUGGACAUGGAGCAAUGGGAACAGACUCAUUUUCCAGUACGGUCAUCUGAGAUGCUGACUGCCCCCUGGGGACAGAGGUGCUCUCUCUCACCUUUAUCAGCAUGAGACUGUUCAAAGAAUCGCACAAUGGCUGAGGCUGGGGGGGCCUUCUGGGUCCAUGUGGCCCAACCCCUGCUCCAGCAGGGACACCCAGAGCAGGGUGCCCAGGGAGGUCUCCAAGGAGGAGAACCCACAGCCUGUGGGCAGCCUGUGCCACUGCUCCAUCACCUGCACAGCACAGAAGUGCUUCUGCUGUUUGAAAGGAACCUCCUGUGUUCCAGUUUGUGCCCAUUGCCUCCUGUCCUGGCCCUGGGCACCACUGACAAGAGCCUGGCUCCGGCCCCUUUGCGCCCACCCCUCAGGUACUGAUGGACAUUACUGAGAUCCCCCUGAGCCUCCUCGUCUCCAGGCUGAACGGUCCCACCUCUCUCAGCCUCAGACAAAGGGUUUCAAUUUUGGUAACCCUGCGUAGAGUCAGCUGGACUCGGCCAUCCUUGUGGGUCAUACAAUCAUUAAGGCUGGAAAAGAGCUCUGAGAUCACCACGUCCAACCCCAGCCCACCCCCC
rnacentral:lncRNA from 1 species